AUUGAACGCUGGCGGCAGGCCCAACACAUGCAAGUCGAGCGGCAGCGGGAAAGUAGCUUGCUACUUUUGCCGGCGAGCGGCGGACGGGUGAGUAAUGCCUGGGGAUCUGCCCAGUCGAGGGGGAUAACUACUGGAAACGGUAGCUAAUACCGCAUACGCCCUACGGGGGAAAGCAGGGGACCUUCGGGCCUUGCGCGAUUGGAUGAACCCAGGGGGGAUUAGCUAGUUGGUGAGGUAAUGGCUCACCAAGGCGACGAUCCCUAGCUGGUCUGAGAGGAUGAUCAGCCACACUGGAACUGAGACACGGUCCAGACUCCUACGGGAGGCAGCAGUGGGGAAUAUUGCACAAUGGGGGAAACCCUGAUGCAGCCAUGCCGCGUGUGUGAAGAAGGCCUUCGGGUUGUAAAGCACUUUCAGCGAGGAGGAAAGGUUGGUAGCUAAUAACUGCCAGCUGUGACGUUACUCGCAGAAGAAGCACCGGCUAACUCCGUGCCAGCAGCCGCGGUAA
rnacentral:rRNA from 1 species